GGGGAAUAUUGCACAAUGGGCGAAAGCCUGAUGCAGCAACGCCGCGUGAGUGAUGAAGGUCUUCGGAUUGUAAAGCUCUGUCUUUUGGGACGAUAAUGACGGUACCAAAGGAGGAAGCCACGGCUAACUACGUGCCAGCAGCCGCGGUAAUACGUAGGUGGCGAGCGUUGUCCGGAUUUACUGGGCGUAAAGGGUGCGUAGGCGGAUGUUUAAGUGAGAUGUGAAAUACCCGGGCUUAACUUGGGUGCUGCAUUUCAAACUGGAUAUCUAGAGUGCAGGAGAGGAGAAUGGAAUUCCUAGUGUAGCGGUGAAAUGCGUAGAGAUUAGGAAGAACACCAGUGGCGAAGGCGAUUCUCUGGACUGUAACUGACGCUGAGGCACGAAAGCGUGGGUAGCAAACAGGAUUAGAUACCCUGGUAGUCCACGCCGUAAACGAUGAGUACUAGGUGUAGGAGGUAUCGACCCCUUCUGUGCCGCAGUAAACACA
rnacentral:rRNA from 1 species